ensembl:ncRNA C09G1.7 ncRNA
UGGCGGGCGUUUGUAUCCCAGUGUCGAGGGCUGUAUUCAAGGGAGUUGACAUCAACCCUGUAUUAUUUCGGAUGUUGGUAUUGCAAAGAUGACAAAGAUAAUGACAAAGAUAAGGUGUGUAUAAUUAACUC